rnacentral:rRNA from 1 species
CAAGGAAUUUUCCGCAAUGGGCGCAAGCCUGACGGAGCAACGCCGCGUGCCGGAAGACGGCUUUCGAGUUGUAAACGGCUUUUGUUGGGGAAGAUAUGGACGGUACCCAACGAAUAAGCCCCGGCUAACUCCGUGCCAGCAGCCGCGGUAAGACGGAGGGGGCAAGCGUUGUCCGGACUCACUGGGCGUAAAGCGUGCGUAGGCGGUACGGAGCGUCGGCACUGAAAGCUCCCGGCUCAACUGGGAGAGGUGUGGCGAUACGUCCGAACUCGAGGCAGGGAGAGGUAUGCAGAAUUCCGGGUGUAGUGGUGAAAUGCGUAGAGAUCCGGAGGAAUGCCGGUGGCGUAAGCGGCAUACUGGUCCUGACCUGACGCUGAGGCACGAAAGCGUGGGGAGCGAACC